rnacentral:piRNA from 1 species
UGAGAAAUUUGAGGUGAUGUGGUGUUGGA